rnacentral:rRNA from 2 species
UACUCCUACCGGGAGGCAGCAGUAGGGAAUCUUCCGCAAUGGGCGAAAGCCUGACGGAGCAACGCCGCGUGAGUGAAGAAGGUUUUCGGAUCGUAAAGCUCUGUUGCCAGGGAAGAACGCUUGGGAGAGUAACUGCUCCCAAGGUGACGGUACCUGAGAAGAAAGCCCCGGCUAACUACGUGCCAGCAGCCGCGGUAAUACGUAGGGGGCAAGCGUUGUCCGGAAUUAUUGGGCGUAAAGCGCGCGCAGGCGGCUGAUUAAGUUCGGUGUUUAAUCCUGGGGCUCAACCCCAGGUCGCACUGGAAACUGGUUGGCUGAGUCAGAAGAGAAAGGAUACCG